ACAGGUAUUAUUUAUUGUUAUUGCUAAGUGUGAUCCUCCUAAAUUCUCCCAAAUCUUCGUUGCUAACAUUUUAAACUGUUGACUACAUAUCCAGGUGAGCUACAGAUCUGGUGAGCUAGAGACAUGGCAAUCUUUUAUCUAAAUCGCCACUGUGCCUUUAUCUCCUGUACAGAGUAUGUGCCUAGGAGUCUUUGUGGAUGGGCAUGUCACUACUGAAACGAAGCUGUAGCGGCAAUUGGAUCUGCGGUGUUUAUCAUCACAGAAUAGAGAUAUCAUAAGUCGGAUAAUAUUGGAUGCUUAACGUAACCGUGUGAUGUGAUACACAACUUUGAUGUUGACAUAUUUCUGUCUCAGUGUUGCACAUAUACAAACACAGUUUCAGAUCUGUAGGAAGGGUCCAGAGGAGAAUAACUGCUCCAUAUUUAACAGCUGACAUUGUGUUUUUGUUUCCCUCGAGAACAUCUCUAGCAAGGAGUACCGUGGUAUGCUGUAGUAUAUGUAGUCGUGCUUCAAGACCAUGCUGUUGCUAUGUAGUUCUGAAUUAACAUACUUCCUCUCAGUGAGAGUUGAGACUUAAGUCCUGCCUCGUGUAAAUGCCGAGACUUAAACAGGUCAAUGAAAAUAAGCACUGGGGCUGUAAAUAGUGCCAGAUCUCCAAUAACCAUCAGGCAUGUCUGAUUCAACUGACCUUUGCCUGGUAUGAAGAAAAGAAGAUAAUAAAUCUGUAACAUCGUAACCCUGAAAUAAUAACACCAGGACUCUACCUCCAGGUCUAGGAGCUAGAUGAAAUAAAACAAUGUUCCUGGUCACACAGAGAAAAUGUGGUAUUUGUGUUGUUAUACACCUGCAGUCACAUUAUUGACGUCAUGUUUCCUCCUUUUGUGUUUUUACAUCAAUGUCCUCAGCUUUGUCUCUUUAAUAUAUUGUAUAAAUACAUGUCAUCUUA